GCAUGUGCGAGCAAGGAGACCUACAAACCGGAUUCAGUUACACCAGCUCUGUCAGGAGGAAUGGGUCAAAAUUCACCCAACUUAUUUUGGGAAGGUCGUGGAAGGCUACCCGAAAUGUUUGACACAAGUUCAAACAAUUUAAAGGCAAUGCUACCAAAUAUGAAUUGAGUGUAUGUAAACUUCUGACCCACUGGGAAUGAAAUAAAUCAUUCUCUCUACUAUUAUUCUAACAUUUCACAUUCUUAAAAUAAAGUGGUGAUCCUAACUGAGGAUUAAAUGUCAGGAAUUGUGAAAAACGGAGUUUAAAUGUAUUUGGCUAAGGUGUAUGUAAACUUCCGACUUCAACUGUAUAUAUAGAAUAAUUUAUUUAAAUUGCGUUAUUUUGAUUUGAUUUAAUACUUGUUCUCCAUUUGAAGAAUACGUCAAAAGUCAUUUGUAUUACAUUAAACAAAAUGUUGAAUCAUUUUGAUACUACAGGAAAUAGGUUGACUGCUAUGUUAAACAACAACAGUCAUGGCUGCCUUGGUUGUCAACAUCCUUGUGGCUGUUGAAGUCUUUUUACCAUAGAAAAACAGGAAUCCCUAAAGUUGUUGCUGGUGAGGCAUACGGCAUGGAAGGGUGGGGCAACUGUUCCUGCCCCUGAACUAGACAGACUGGAACAACCUCCGUGAUUUACAAGAAAUCACCCGACUGUCUAGAAAUGGAAAACCUUCAAACUAAGGCUGACCUAUCACUUCAUGAAGUACAACUUGGCCCCACAUCACUUUAAAACAUCAGCUGUCAAUCCUCCCGCAGACAUACAACUCCAGAUACCCAACUCAACAGGCAGGGCGGAAGGAGGAGAAAACUGUUCGCUGCUCUGGCCCCCCAAUGGUGGAACAAACUCCCUCACGACGCCAGGACAGCGGAGUCAAUCACCACCUUCCGGAGACACCUGAAACCCCACCUCUUUAAGGAAUACCUAGGAUAGGAUAAAGUAAUCCCUCUCACCCCCCCUCCCCCUUAAAAGAUUUAGAUGCACUACUGUUCCACUGGAUGUCAUAAGGUGAAUGCACCAAUUUGUAAGUCGCUCUGGAUAAGAGCGUCUGCUAAAUGACUUAAAUGUAAAUGUAAAUGUAAGAUAUCGAUUUGGUCGAGGAUAUAAUUAUAACGCCAUUCUCAAGACGAACUUUGAGGUUGCCGGACGCCGACGCUACAAAGCCUGUCACAGGCGGGAAAGGGGUUUGUUCGCCACUUUCAAAGUUCCAACAAAGUUUAAGACACCCAGUCACUACAAUACAGGCGUAAUUUCCUAACUCAGUUGCCAGAGAGGAAGGAAACCAUUCAGUGAUUUUACCAUGAUGCCAAAUGUGAAUUUAAAACCAUUACAGAGUUGAAUUGCUGUGAUAGGAGAAAACUGAGGAUGGAUCAACAACAUUGUAGUUACUCCACAAUACUAACCUAAAUGACAGAGUGAAAAGAAGGAAGCCUGUACAGAAUACAAAAUAUUCCAAAACAUG